UACAGGCAUGUGCCACACUGCCCAACUUAGACUCUGUUCUUCAUACAAAGACCAGAAUGACAGGGGGCUGCUUAAGUGGCUUGGUCUCCUACAGAAGGCAAAGCUUGAUCAUGAUCCUGUCAAGAAUGCAUUAUCUGCAUCCAGUUCCGCAAAUGUAGCUAACUGCCCAAAUUCCUGCUCCCUCCAGGCUAUCCAGCAAGAUCAUCAGCAAGGUUACAUAGGUUUAGCUCUCCACCACUGGGCAAGACUUUGUUAGGACAAGGGCUUUGUAAAGCACAGAAGACUUGAACUUCACCUGCUCGGGAGGCUAAGGCAGGAAGAUGGCUUGAGCCCAGGAGUUCAAGGCUGGCCACUAUGCUCACGUCUGUGAAUAGCCACUGUACUCUAGCCUGGGCAGCAUGGCAAGACCCUGUCUCUGAAAAAACAAAACAAAAAGGGAAAACUUAAAUUUAUCCCAAAGGAGUCUAGUAUUGAAAGUCAGAGCUGACUUUCAAAACCAGAACAUAGCUGUCCCUGAAUAUUCUAGGCUUUCUGGAUAGCCCUCCAAGGAUCUGGCACUCAUAAGUUUAAAUACAUCCUGAGAUUUAAAGG
rnacentral:lncRNA from 1 species